CCGGUUGUUUCAAAAUAUGAAACGACUAGGGUUCAUUUCUCCCAACAUCAGCCGCACCCCCUCCCCAGCCCUUCUCCUUCCCUCUCUCUUCCGCUCCCUUUUUUUUUAGCAAACCCUAAUCCUCCUUUAACGACGGACAGAUUUGUUGUCCCAUUUUCGCACAAAUCUUGUCCUCACCUUCUGCUGCCUGCAUGUGUUCUGUCGUUGACAGAGGAGGGAUUUCCAUUCUUGGCUUCAAGGCACGGUUUGACCUUCAAAAACCAGGACUGGUCUAGCCACUUUCGGUCAUACCCAAGCCGAACCACGUGAAGAUCUGUUGGGAUUUCAACGGAUCCAUUUUUUUUUACUCAUUUCGAAAACUUAGAUAAUUCAAAAUCCCGCCCAAUAUUUGAAACCUAGAAAAACCCUAGACGUUUCCUAUAUAUAAUGUGGUUCUGGAGUCUUUUAGGGGGGUUUUUUUGGGAGCCGUCUCAACCCCCCUAGAAAAUAUUAGUUUUCUUUUAGUCUCAAUAUUUCUGAAUAUCCAUUCUAAAUACCAAAUCAUUUUUUUCUCGUUUUCCCUCUGUUAUUAUUGCAAAUUUGAGCGCAUGCAAAUUCGGAGAUUGUAGAGUUUUCGAGUGUAUAUCCGAGAUUCAAGCCCAGUUCGCUGCACUCAAAAAAUUUGGGACUCACUCACUGAAAAAUCCCAAAUGAGAUUCGGCACCAUCACUAUACCUGAGCAUGGAGUCAAUAUAUUCCAUUUUCUUGAAUCACAUCGGACUGGCAAAAGCCCGUGCAUUAGAGUCUCCUUUGGCGACUUUUUUUUUUUAUGUUCAUUUUGCUGAUUUUUUUCUUCGUGUUAUUUUGUUUGUGGGAUUUGGGGUUGUUUUGACCGGAUAUAUUGUUUAACAUAGGGUUAAUUAGGAAUAUUACACCUAACCCCUUUAGAAUUUCCAUUCUUAUUAUUAAUAGGGAAUUUAUUCUACCUUAUAGAUUAUUUA